AGGACUUGUAUACCGCUCUGUGUAUGCACAGUGAUACAUUCCCUCAUCUUCUUGGAUUGUCCUCCGUAUGAGUUUCCCCGGCACUCUGCUUGUACCAGUAGAGCCGUGGACGGCCAAUCUCCUCAUAACGGAGAGCACACUUGAAGGUUGCAGGUUCACCAAGUCGAACUGUGGUAACUGGAACUAGAGAAUCUAAAAUAAAUGGUAACACACAAUGUAUUGAAAAAUAUAUUAGUGUAUGAUGCACAACAUUUAUCAUGCAAAACCUACAUAUCCACAGUAGCUACUUGGCAUGCAAAUUCUUAACUGAAUACUUGCACA